AUACCUACCUUGCGUCGGGAUACCGUGAUCAUGCAGGCGGUUACCCCGUGGGGAGGCUGCUCCAUUGCACUGCGGAGUGGUUCACCCUUGCGAUUAUUUCUAUAUUUUAUUAUAUAAGUUUCAUUUCUACCGUGUAUGACUUGCGCACACACACUUUUUUU
rnacentral:snRNA from 9 species